CUUCUCCCUUCUAUCACGGAGAAUGUAAACUCUUUAUAAAAUGAUAAAAAAAUAUAAUCACAAUGAAUAAAAGAUUUCCAUAAUAUAUCAAUUUUUCAUGGCAAAAGACUACCAAAUCUCUUAACAUCAAACUACUAAUUAUCCAUAAUCAUGGUCAUCAAAAUCAAACAAUACCAUAUUUUAAUAUUGGCAAAAUGCCUAUUUAGACUUCUAAGUUUUGCUCAGUAAUCACUUAAAAAUAUAUACGAAGGAACAAUAGUGGACACAAAAGAAUUUUUUAUGUCAGUUGAAUUAUACUAAGGUUGGAAUGGAAGUCUUUAUCUUUUUACAUAUACAAGUUUGGUAAAUGAUGGUUGCGAAUGUUACAGUUCUUAUAGAUAGAGAUGCGAUAAUGAGUAAAUAGAAAUGUAGAAUUUUGGAGAAGUACUCUUUGGACAAAAACGAAAAUAAGUGAAGGUUGAAAAACGAAAAUAAGUGAAGGUUGAAAAACGAAAAUAAGUGAAGGUUG
rnacentral:misc_RNA from 1 species